ACGUGUAAUAAAUUUGACACGUGACAUAAAUGCGUGAGGGACAAUUCAGUGAGUUGUGUUUACUUUAGAGGAAAAGGGAAGCUGGAAGGUGGUGAUCUCUAACAACUGGAGGAAAUAAGGACUGAUCAGCAUCACAAUGUCAACACAACUAGUUUUAGGUAAUGAGAACGGUAUAAGAAUGGAUACAGACUGUAUAACUAUCGAUGAUUGUAAAAUAUAUCAUAAAUCAGAUGAUAUCAAUAUGUCCUCUACCAGCUGGACACACCAAUAUAUGCGUGAUUAUAUAAAGAAGGGAAGUUCGUAUCUAGAACAGAUGAAUAAUAAACAGGAUAAAAUGAUGCUUUUGUUAAAUGGACUGGUGAAAGAUGUCAGAUAUUUAAAGAAAACUUCACCGCCAGCUGAAACUAAACUUGGUCUCACAGAUUGGAAGCCAAGCUCCGGGGCCGAUUGUGAAAUGAUAUCAAAAAAAGAGGAAGAAGAUGAACUACCCGCAGUGUCGGACAUAUUACAAGUUUUAAAACUGACAGAUGCUGUUGGUUGUGAUGCUUCAAAAUUUCUGGAUUCUACCGAUAAACUAUUGAUAGAUUUAGGAGGAAAGAUAAACUAUGAUAUAUUUGGUAGUGAUGUAAACCAUUAUAAAUAUCUCGAGACCAGUGAUGUAUUAACUGAUGAAGAGAAGAUGAAGAAAAUAAAGGCAUUAUUAGAUGAAAAGUGCAAUAACAGACUGAUAAUAUCACACCAUAUGGACAUGCCCACAUCACCAGUGAAACGGUUUUCGCCAGUCUUGUUGGAUAUCAAUACUCGGGUGUCCAGACCAACAUUCGUUGAAAAUCCCCUGCAUAAAGUUGUUCUGGAUAAUCCAAAAACCUGGCUUACAUUUGCCAACUAAAUGGAAUUAAAAUUAUUAUAUUUGCGUGAAAUUGUAACUAAGUUAACCAUAUCUAAUGUCAGUCAGUGCUGCUAUUAUUUUUGUGUUUCAUUAAAAAAAAUAUUUUUACAUCACGAAAAGUAUAACUUUUUAAAACA